UGCGCAGGCGGAAUGAUUAGUCAGUGGUGAAAGCCCUCGGCUCAACCGAGGAACUGCCAUUGAUACUGUCAUUCUUGAGUACAGUUGUAGUGGGCGGAAUGCGUCAUGUAGCGGUGAAAUGCAUAGAGAUGACACAGAACACCGAUCGCGAAGGCAGCUCACUAAGCUGAAACUGACGCUCAGGCACGAAAGCGUGGGUAGCAAACAGGAUUAGAUACCCUGGUAGUCC
rnacentral:rRNA from 1 species